AUAAAUAAAUCUAAAAUGAAAUGGAGAAAUGGCUCAAAAUUCUCAGACUUUAGGAAAUUGCGUUUACUUUUCUACAUUUUUCUAAUAUCUACAGUAGUUCAUGCUACAGCUAAAGCACAUGGACUUCUUUGUUGUAGGAUGUUUGAUUUAAAGCUGGCAGGAUCAGAAGGGGACUGGUCUUUUCCAAAGUCGAGAACCAGAGCCCCAUACUCUCUUUACAGAAGGCCGCGAUGGUGGCAGGUGCUGUGGCCUGUUGUGAAGUGAAGGUGAGGAGGGAAGUUUCAUAACAGACGGUUUCUUGUUUAUCUGGGGCCUGUCCAGCUCUAAGCUUUGAAAGUGAUGGACCAGACCCUAAACUGGCACAGACAGGUGGGAUUGCCAGAACAGGAAGCAAGGUUCUAGGUUAUUAUCUUUGGGGCAGCUGCCGCUGCACAGUUGGUGGGCUGGCAUGUUAGCAAUGGCUUCUUGUGGUGAUUAUGUGUGGUACCACAAUGAGGUGAGAAACUGGGCCUGGAAUCUGUGGAGGUUGUAACCACACUAGAGCUGUUGGCAUGUGUUAAAAUGGGUGUCAGCUACUGUGUCUCAUAGGACUUAUGGAUGGAAAUGCAUGAAUGUGGGAGCCAAAGACAUGAGUAUGUGUGUUCUCUGCUGAUCAGCCUGGAGUUCUGGAUUGUGUGGCACAGUAAGUGAUGUUUUGUGGGAAGCCAUGGCUGUCCUCUCUGACAUUAGCCUCCAAAGACUAAGCGCUUAUCCCAUACAUUGCUAACAUCCUCUGCUAACCUUUCUGAAAUUGUUAAAUUAGUCUAGGCUGGGUUCUAGCAUAUAUCAUGCUUCUCUUUAGCUGAAUACCCUUGGGCAAGCUACUUAAUCUCACUGUUCCUAGCUUUCUUUAUCUAGAAAAUGAAAGCCCAGCCUAGACACUAUCAUAAGUUUGUGAUGACCUCUGUUGUCCACGUUUGAUUAAACAAUUUUCAGCCAUAUGUUUUGGUAUUUGCUGCUUUGAAUAGUUGAAUUCUACUGGUUUUACUUUACUGUAAAGGAAGAGACACACACUUCUUUUUUGGUUUUAAAUUUUUUUCUUGAAGAUGUAGGUGGUGUGUCUCCAUAUCCAGUAUGUAAAGGUUUGGAAAUUAAAGAGUCUGUAUCAUUUUAUAGAGAAGGGCCCAAACGUUAUCUUUCUGCAUUGUAUAACUGAUCUUGUCCCUUUUGUUGUUGAGACAGUAUGAGUCACAGUUGCUGUUGGGGAAGUAAGAUGCAGAAUCACAACAUACAAUUGUAGAAGGUGUUCUUGCAGGGGCAGUAGAGUCCGUCUGAUCAACCCUUCAUGCUGAGAGUUGAAGGCUGAGGCCCAAAAAGGUCUCCUGAUGAAUCUGAGACUGCACUUUGUUCAUCUAGAUAUCCUAGCACCUCCUGGGCCUCGAAACCAGGUGCUGGAGUGCCAUGUCACCUCUUCUGUGAAGCAUCAUUUUAAGAGACAAACUGGCAGAAUUGAAAGAAGACGGCAUUCAUCAUCAAAAUUUAAAUUUGUUUCUCAUUAACAGACAUUCUGCCUGUAGUGCACUAUGAAUUAAUGUGUUUUAUAAAUCUUGUAACUGUCUUAUGAAGAGUAUAAUUAGUCAUAAGUGUUUGGGUGUUAGAAAUGUUAAUUUGUUCAAUGUAGGCAUUAAAAUGUUUUGUCAUUUCUUUAUUUUUACCUAUCACUGGGAGCUUUAGAAGAUGUAAGUGGCUCAAGCCUCCCUUGACCUCUAAGUGACCCUGCUGAACUGGCUUAGUAUUGGCUGGCCUGGCUCACGUACUCACUCUGGCCCAGUUGCCUGGGGCUGCAGGACUCACAGGGUGUGGACAUCUGGGGGAGGGGGAAAGAGGGCACAGGGAAGUGCUCUGGGUGUGGCAGGCCUGCGAAGGAGUGAAGAAUGGGAAUCUAGGAAUCUGACUGCUGAGACUGAAGAGUAAGGCCCAAGCAGGACUGUGAUUUGGUCCUGAGAUUUUAAAGGCAUAGGUAGCCCAGUUCUUUUUCUGUGUCUGUGCUUAGAGACUACACAUGAUGCCAGAUGUCUUAAAAACUGGGGAGACUACAACUCAUUUCUGCUUUGAGGUAUGAAGCCACUGGUAAACUACUUUAAAAUGAAAAAAAAAAUUGUUUAGGCAAUUAUUGGUGGUGGUUUAGGCAAUUGGUGGUGGUAUUGGAAAAAUUUCAGAGGGAACAGCUCUACAAGAAAAACAGUUCCAGAAGUAGGAGAGGUUAAAGAGAUGUGAGGGGCCAUUUAGUCAGCUGGAUGGCGCUAAAAGCCAUAAUUGGUUGUACUUCAUGAGGGUUAAAAUUGGAAAGCAAUGUGAACAUGCAGUUUAAGCCAUGGGGUGGAAGGGCUUUGAAAUUUAAAAAAAAUGAUAUGUAGUAGUAAUAGAGACCUUCCAGUUUUAAAUUCAUGAACCAGACUCUCUUUCUCUUCCCCCAGUUUCUUUUAUCAAUGUGUAGUAAUUUAUUCUAUAACUACCACCAAGAGAUGUCUUAUUCAGGACUGGAUUGCAUGAGUCACCAAUUUUGUUGUUGUUUGGCCAAAGCUGUAAAGUGUAAAAUAAGGACCAAACAUUUUUAUGGGAAAAGAUUGGCACAUUAGCAGACAGUGACGUGAGCAGUCUGGGAGCCUGUUGUGUUGUGAAGGGAGGGGUGUUUCGUAAAGGCCACAUUUGUAUGAUUAGAGAGCACAAACUAUGAGUAAAAUGUCUGCAGCUACUAAAGUAACCUAGUAGAUGUGGAUUCUUAUUCAUUCACAAAAUAUCUUUGCUAUGUGCUUGUUGGAAUCAUGAUAUCCUGGGCAGAUUUUAUAAUGAUCAUUUAUGGUAUAGUAAACAUCUAGAACUACCAUAGGAGAAUAGAGCAUAGACACCAUUGAUAAGCCUGCUGCUUUGUGGAGGGAUGGUGCUUAUCAGAAAUUGCAGCAUUACUGUAAAUUUUUCUUCAGACUUAUCAUAUGGGAUGAUUUAUUUGAUAGUUCAGUAUAUUAUUUUGCCAGGAAAUGUCGUUAGUACUCUUCUCAAAAGGGCAGUGUGCAUCUGAAUCACCUGUGGAACUUAAAAAGCAAAACCAAGCAGACCAUGGACUCCCUCCUGAUCUACUGAACUUCAUCUCCAGUGCUGGGCCUGGGCACUGUACUUUUCAUUCUAAAGUCUUUUCUUCUUUCUUCCUUCAGUAAAUAUAUAUUGAGCUUGAUGACCAUCACUGAUCGGGUCUAAAAUGGUGAGGAAAACAGAAAUGAUUCCUCUCUUCUUGCUAUUUGUAUAUAUGAGCAAGAGCCUGAUCAUCAUUAUGUAAGGACUGUGGGAAAAACCGAUAAUUAUAAAUUGCAGCAAUACCAUGGAGAAAAAAAAUAGAACACAAGGGCAUCAUAAGAAAGUGACAGAAGAUCAGUUUAGAUGAGGGAGAAAGCAUCUCUGAGGAAAAUGAGACAGGUGCUGAAAACUGAAAGGAGUUCACCAUGGGCAGAGAGGCAGGAGAACUCCAGGCAGAGGGGCAGCAUUUUGGGAUGCUUCUGGGAAAGACAUGAUAGGCUUGCAUCACUGCACUGCAGGAUUUCAGCCCAUGAGAAUGAGAAAUGACCACGUCCCAGGGAGAGGUGGCAAGUCAUCAUUCCAUGCUGUCCCUAUUCUGUACUCCCUUAGUCUUGCAGUUACAAAAACAAUUUACUUGACUGUCCAUUUAAAGGAAGGAUAUUAUGGUAUGGGUCUAAAUGAUCCCCAAAGCCUCAUGCAAGCCUGGUGGCUUUUCGAGAAGUGGCUGAAUCUAGAGUGUGUG